rnacentral:lncRNA from 12 species
CCCAAUUUUGUCAAUAUUUCUCUGCUCUAUACAAUUCCAGAACACACCUAGCCUCCUAAGCCCUUAUUUCAAAUGUAUUUUUUUCAAUAUCGUUUCCAAAUGAUCACAAAUGACAAGUUAAAGUGAGUUUCCCCAUAUCAUUAAGAAUAAUUAUAAUCUUUUCAUCUUGACAUUUUUUCAAAUGAAUAGAACGGCGGCAGUUGUGGGAUGAAUGUUCUUUGAUAAUCUAUGUUCUGCUGACAUUGACUUGCUAACCUGCAGUUGUGUUAUUUGUUUUACCAAGUGAGAAUGAGCCAUAAGAGAAACCUCUUUUUUUUUUUUUUAAAUUUCUGACGACUGGGAGAACUACAAGAGUUAACAGGGCAACAUCGUUCUGGGUCUGAACAGUGUGCAGUACUGCUGUUUGUUUACACCAUUGAAUAAAAUGCUGCUUUCUUUUGUAAAAUCCAAUCUGAUAUAAGGACAUUUUUCAGAAACUUGCUGUCUAGACCAUCAAAAAGAUGGAAAUCACUUUUAACACGGCAUUUGUAACACGAAGAUCCAAUAAUUCAAUUCAAAGGAACAUAACAAAAGGAAUUUCCUACAGAUAACAACAAAGAGUUAAUAUUUCCCAGGGCAGACAAGUUUCCAAUUCAAUUAGUUUUAAUGAACCUUCUGCUCACUGGUUACUGAACUAGAAAGAACAGCAAUAAAUGCCCAGAGGAAAGAGGGAGAGGAUAUUAAAGGAGGGUUAGUGUAUAGUAUAUAAAUUUCCAAGUUGACUAAAAGAGUAGCCUUGAUGUAGUUUUGGGAGCUAGAGACAGAGAAUCAGAUCCGCCCUCCGAGUUCAGUGUACAGGGCAGCAGACCUCGGCCAGUUGUUGUGUGCGAGAAGCAAACGCACGAGUCCAUCCCCCCGUCUGAUGGUGAAACAGAUAAUGGAAUAGAUAACGCAGCCACACAGGUCCUUAGGAGAGCCCAGCAUAUUCCACACGGAAAUACAGAGUGAAUUCUCUGCUAACCAUCGGCAGACCAGAUGGGUCAGUUCAUACGUUUAUCAGGAAAAAGUCAAAAUUGGAACUUGCCAUUUACGGCCCCCGUACAGCACAUGUGGUGACUAAGGACCUUGCCAACUUAGCAGGAAGGCACCUGCAGACGAAGGCCCUCCACACGAGGUAUUUGUGGGGCAAGUGGAGCUCGCAGAGUCAGGCCGGACGCGGCUUCCAA